rnacentral:rRNA from 1 species
AUUGAACGCUGGCGGCAAGCCUAACACAUGCAAGUCGAACGAGUGGCGGACGGGUGAGUAAUGUCUGGGAAACUGCCUGAUGGAGGGGGAUAACUACUGGAAACGGUAGCUAAUACCGCAUACCAUCGGAUGUGCCCAGAUGGGAUUAGCUAGUAGGUGGGGUAAAGGCUCACCUAGGCGACGAGCCCUAGCUGGUCUGCGAGGAUGACCAGCCACACUGGAACGGUGACACGGUCUAGACUCCUACGGGAGGCAGCAGUGGGGAAUAGUGCCCAAUGGGCGAAAGCCUGAUGCAGACAUGCCGCGUGUAUGAAGAAGGCCUUCGGGUUGUAAAGUACUUUCAGCGGGGAGGCGUUACCCGCAGAAGAAGCACCGGCUAACUCCGUGCCAGCAGCGGCGGUAAUC